rnacentral:lncRNA from 1 species
GAGAAAGCAUAUCUAGAAAUUGUCGGUGGCCUGUCAAAGCUUUGCUGGAAAUUGCCGAUGGUCAGUCAUGGGCUUAGAGGAUUCCGGCGAGAUUCUGAACGCAAAACCAAGUUCGGCCGGAAUCAGCUGAAGAGUCAACGACGUGAGAUCUUCGGUGCCGGGAAGUCCGACCUCCCAUAAUACUCUGUCCUCAUUAUUACCACCGCUAGAAUCGUACUCAGAAAGCUUCACUUCUUCACCCAAGGUAGCUCGUUACAGAAAUGUUCUUCAACUGGACAAAUUUCACUCUUAGAAUUCUUUCUUAGUUCCCACUAAUACAAGUUAAAUUAAAUCUUUUGCGGUUACAGUUUCGACGUGGGACAGAGCAGCAGAUACCGAUUUGAUGAAGAUUUCCGAAGGAUUUCCAAAAUGGAGGAGAGGAAGAUAGAAAAAAGAAAAAAAAGAGAAAAGGGGUAAGUUGUUUGUGUUUUGGACCAUUUCACGCGCCUGGAAAAUAUGAGGAACAUUUGACUUGCCGUGUCAGCCUUUUGUAUGUGAAUUGCGCUUAUGAGAUAUGGUUGAAGUGUUUAAAUGAAAUAUGCCUAAGAUAAAAUGUGCAAGUGAAAAAUAAGGUAAGAGGUUGCCGAUGUAUUUGGCAUAUUUUAUAUAUCAUUUUACAAAAUUAUAUUUUGACCUUUGUGUUUUUCUUGAUUGGUUGUAAUUAGUUAGUGCUCCCCUUCGCUGUCACGGGGCCUAUAAAAUAGUCAAUAAAAAUUUCCAUGCAUAAACUUUUUUUGGGG